UUUAGUUCAUUUUAUACCACAGCAGCAGUUUCAUGUGCCUGCCUGGACUGGAGGAGGAGGGCAGGGUGUGGACACAGAAAGCCUAGGCCUGUGGUUGGGACACAUUUAUGCACAGGGAGGGGGCGGCUGUGCUUCUCUGUGGCUUGCUGCUGGCACAGAGGUACAGAGCUGUCUGGUUCCUUUGGGCCCGUGUCACCGCCAGGGGAAAGCGCUCCUUCUUCUCCCGAGAGGCGCUGUAGCCUGCAGCUGCAUCUCCUUCCUGGACAUCAUUUGUCAUAGGUUGAGAGAAAGUCAAAUUGGUCCCUAUCAAUGUGGUUGGAAGACUACAAUCAGAAUCUAUAAUCUUCUACGUACUAUGAGAUCUAAGAAAUGGAGAAGGCAACUUAUAAUAAGGAAGAAUCAUGACACAAACAAGGUGAGAAAACAAAUGAGUUGUAAAGUCGGCCAUGUCAUUGUUGUAAGACUUCAUUCCAGAUUGUUUCUGAGAAAUUUCUUUGCUCUUAUUUUGAUGUUUUAUGGAGUUCCUGGAUGAUACAAAUGGUUAAGUGUGUGACUACUAACCAAAAGUCUGGCAAUUGGAACCCACCCACAUGUACCUUGAAAGAAAGGCCUGACAAUCUGCUUUUAAAAGGCCACAGCCUUGAAAGCCCUAUGCUAUGGAGCGCAGUAAUAUGCUGCACAGGUGGGGUCUCCAUGACACCAGCAAUUGCCAGAAAGCCACCUGCUUCCUGCACUGGGCCACCAUGAGCUUGUGCAUCUAGAAUAGCUGAACUUUCACAAUGUGGACAGACGGCUGGCACAGUGAUACAUGGCUGAGUCCUGUAGUGCCACCAGCUGGAUCUCCAAGCUGCAGGCUGAGUCUUGGUGGCACUCAGCUGAAAAUCUCUCCUUGGGCAUCUCAUUUCCACUAAGGACAUAUUUGUUCUGGAAGGAAAUCAAGAACUUGAACUCUUUGGUUGGAAUCUGUUGAUACCAGUAAACACAGCUGUGUCUUAUCGUCAGGACGCAGUCCAUGUUCACUUUCUGUCCUUUCCUUUUGAGCAGAUAUCUUAGCAUCUGGGUGACUUCAGCAUCAAGGGAGCCUACAAGGGAAGGAGACAGAGAUUAUGGAGUGAGUCCAAGAAGAUGAUCUGGUGACAUGGGCAUGGGGAAAGGCUUGGGGCUGUGGACUAGCACAUUCGGGACAGAGAUUUACCUGUACCCAGUAGGCAAAGGACCAUAAAGCCGAUGGCUACUGAGCGGAUGGCAGAGUCGGGGAACAAUGGAGGCAGAUGGCUUUCUCAGAGACUUCCCAUCUCGUAUACACAGCUUGUCUGUGAUGCGGCCACUUCAUAGAACCCAGUGGUCCUCAGUGUAUGGCUCUGUGCCUGAAAAAAAAAAAGAGACAGCAGAAAUUCAGAGAACAUGGAGGGAGCUUUACCCUCACUUAAAGGAGAGACCAUGUGAUGUUGUUAAUUCAUAGGUAAAUCGUGCUUAAUUUGCCUUUCUUUGCUUCUCUGUCUCUGCUUUUCUUCCUUUAAAAAAGAAAGGUCUUUAUUGUUUUUCUCCCAUCCCCUACCCUUUCUACUCUUGCAGAAAUUCCUGCCCACCCCAGGUAACCAACCAAUAACUUUAUGCGGAUUUUCCACACCAUUUUCAGGCUCUUAAACUCAUACUUGACUUACAUUUUUAGGCGGACAACCUUAUCAGUCUUUAUGGGUUUUGUGAUAAUUCAGAACACCAUUCCCACCCAGAGAUAAAUUAUAAGACAUCACACUCCCUUAUGACCAGGCCCAAGGUGUCUCAUUUAUUUAGGCCAUGGAAAGCCCAUCUCCCUCAGUGCUGUGACCCUCCUUUUUGAUUUUCCCUGCAGCUCUCGGGUGUCUUAGUGGAUUUUUUGUGCUCUUCCAUAUAGAUGACUCCAUCCUAUACAUCUCCAAACAUACUCUCUUGCAGUCUGAUUUAACAAUUUAGGGCUUCCAUUUGACCAUUCCAACAUCACCUCCAAGUCCAGAUAUGAGCAGUCUGUAGAGUAGUGCCUUUUUCCCUAAGAUGGUUUCUCCCCUGGGGGAUUUUUAUUUGGGAAGUAUUUGGGCUUUCAUUCUCCGAUUAAUGUUCAAGUUGCCCCAGGUCUGUGCUGAAAGCACAUGGAUCCUUCUGGCAGACUGAAGACCGUCAGAGUAGAUCAAAUGCCAGAGAAUCAAGUUCAUGUGCACUGGGUUUCCCCAACCCUUCACAUGAUGCCUCUUGUAUUUCUCAGCCUCUAACUUGGAUUAAGGAGCCCUGGUUGAGCAGUGGUUAAGAGCUUGGCUGCUAACCAAAAAGAUCAGCAGUUCUAAUCUACCAGCUGUUCCUUGGAAACCCUAUGGGGUGCUCUACUCUGUCCUAAGGGGUUGCUAUGAGUAGGAAUCCACUUGAUGGCAACAGGUUUGGUUUUUGGUUUUAAUUUAGAUUAAAAUGAACAAUUAAAAAGAAGGGAAGAAACAAGUUCUUACUUUUCUGCUGAAGGGGACAGAACACAUUUAACUUUAAAUCAAUGGUGCAAGGAAGAGUGGGUGAAGUUCAUCCUGGAAACAUAUCACAAACUGAAUAUUGAGGAAACUACCACAAACUGAGUAUUGGGGAAAAUACUGGAAACUGAACUUCAGGCCAGUGUAGCCACUUUUCACUCUUGGCAUAGCUGACAAUGGUUUUUGCAGGUUUAUGCCCAGCUCCUGCCUAUAGAUAAGAUCAUGGUAGCCAUAAACCCACUUCCUGUUGUGGCUGUAAGAGGGGAGGUGGGCCCUAGAGAAGGCCCUUUUAUCUGGGGAACAGGAGGUUUAUGAGCAGAAGGGAGGCAAGGGCUCAUCUCUGUGUCUCUACUGCUGGCACACAGGUACACGGCGGAGUCCCCCAAGCCUGGAGAGCGGAUGCCAAGCCCACAGAAGGAAGUGUUGGGCCGGAUGGGUUGGAAGUUAUCAGAGGGUUGCUCAGAGGUCCCUCCACACAUGCAGAGCUUUGCAAACCUGCUGAGAUACUGCUUUUGCAUCUAACCCGCACAUCACAGAUGGAUGACUGAUAUGUACAAGCUAAACAAGCGCUGUCGCGUUGACCCAAGGCACAGCGACCCCACGUGGGUAGAGUACAACUGUCCUCCAUAGGGAUUUCAGUGACUGAAAUUUUGGAAGCAGGUCACCAGGCUUUUCUUCCAAGAUGAUUCUGGGUGGAUUCAAACCUCCAACCUUUUAGUUAGCAACCGAGUGCUUCAAACAUUUUCACCACCCAGGGACUCUGUCUGCAAAUCAUCUCCACCCUGAUACAUCAUUCCAGCCCAGGGGGUCCUCUAUCUAUGCCCACUUUUUAGAGGGUGUCUAGAAAUUCUCGACUACUCUUGACUAUCAGUGGCACCAUGAUGCCUCCUUGUGGCCAGUGGGGAAGGCUCUAGAAGCUCUCCUCCUAUACUGGUCAAAGGAAACCUGUGCACUAGAAUGAGCUACAGUGGGGCUUAGAAAAUCUUCCAGUUCCUCGCUGUGCUACCAGACCUGUGUGUUCAGGCCACCUCACUAGUGGACUGGGGUGAUUAAGUCUUCUAGCUCCUUCUCUCCUUUCUUUAACUCUGACUAUACAGUACUGACCGCAGGUGUUCCUGCCUUCCCCGUGACCAUGCUGAGUCUCUUCAGAUUUUUGGGGAAACGGACAGGAAUUUUACCCUAAAUGCCCCUGAUUUUCAGUUUAUAUACAGCUUCCUACGGCAUGUUUUUUUCUCCCCUUCUAUAACCAUAGCUUUUCUUCUGCUUAUUUCUAGAACACCUCCUUAUUGGGGGUCUGUACUACAGACAACGUCUUAUAUGCAAGCCAUGCCAUUUACACUAAAAAAUGUGAGCCCUAUGGAGAAAGGAAAUUAGCUUUAAUCUCUGAUAAUGAACCUGGCUCUCUCACUAAAAAAUGACAGUUCGAAAACUGGCUGGAAAUGAAUAUAUUCUACACAAAUGUAACUUUAAAAUAACCACCAACACCACCAUCAUUCUCAUCAAGCAUCCUUCAAACCAGCAGUGAAUGGAUUUUUAUUCAUUUUUUUUCCUUCAGGGAGACUUGUUUCAUCUUACUAAUAGAAGAGAUAUGAGGAGGUAGUCACUCCCCAAGUCCCAAGCAUUUCAGAUUAUACCACGGGGUAGGUAAGCAAGGAGCCUUCUGGAGUUACACCAGAAUAACACACAGAAAUAAGCCCGCUGCUGCUGGGUCAGUUCCGACUCAUGGAGACCCCACGUGACACAGUAGAGCUGCCCCAUAGGGUUUUCUUGGCUGUAAUUUUUACACAAGCAGAUCUCCAGGCCUUUCUUCUGUACAGCAGCCCAAAGUGCAGCCAGGACGCUCCUCAGAAGUGAGGAUGGUGAGAUUUCAUCUUCUUGCUGUGGCAGGCCAUCAGGAGGGACCAGUCCCUGGGGAGGGACAUCAUGCUCCAGAAAGUAGAGAGCGAGUGAAAAAGUGGAAGACCCGCAACGGGAUGGAUUGACACAGUGGCUGCAACAAUGACCUCAAACAUAUUAACGAUUGUGACGAUGGUGCAGGACCAGGUCACAUUUUAUUGGUUGCACAUAAGGUCACUACGAGUCGGAGCCAACUCUUGGGCACCUAACAACAACAACAAAGCUACUAGAAUCAGUACUUCGCUCUUGUACCUGUCUCUGCCUUGCUACGUGCAAGACGGUCCCUUUAUCUGGAAGGUGAAGCCUGAGUCUGAGCGUCCACAUAUCUGUUUUGCACAAUAACAACAAAAUGUUUUCCGAUUAAGUCAUGCAAAAAAGUAGUCCUCUCACCUUCCCUGUACCUGUUCUUACCUGUUCAUUCAUUAACCAAAGCACUAUGUCGUUCAUCAUGGAAAUUUUCUCAUGAGUGAAGCACUUGCUUGGCUGACUUAUAUCCCACUUUUAUCUCGAGGGCCCAGCAUGGUGACAAGACGUUGUCAGAUGGUCUAGGAAAUCUGAAGUCCACGUUUACCACGGAAAACUCACACAUUUUAUAGAUCUAUCUAUAGUGAGUUUUUCCUAACAUGUUUUUCAUGAUUAACAUGUGGCAGAGUCAAGACAACCAUCCAGGUUUUAGAAUUUUCCAUCCAGGGACGUCUCCAUGUUGGUGUCACUUUAUAGGCCCAGUCCCAUGCCCGUUUUCUCGGUUUCACACAUGGUGCCCCUACGCUUCACACUCACUCUCUGUGUAUAUAACGUACACACAUAUACACUCUCUACACUAACACACACACGCACGUUCAAUCUCUCUCUCUACAUACACACACACAGUACACAGACACACACACUCCCAGGUGUCUCAGUUCAAGGAGCUGCGGUUUCCUACCCUGCACACUCCUCCCACAGGGCUCACAGACCCCUGGGGAGAAGAAAGGGGCAUCCGGGCAGAGGUUCUUGCUUGGGUCCCUGAUCUCUGCCUGGCACUGUGUCACUAGCACCACAGAAGUAGAGGCCGCUGUCCUGGGCCUGUGCACUGGUCACUGUCAGAGUUGAAAACGUGAGGUCUGGGUGGUUGAUCCGGAACGUGUCCUUGGUAAAGCCUUCCUCAUAGGCGAUGCCGGAGCCCUGGUUAGAAGUUGUGAUCAGGGUGAAGUCCUGCUCUGGGAGCUGGAGAUACCACAGCAUCUUUGUUGCCUGGAUGCCUGUGACGCGGCACUCGAUCUUCACUGAGGUCCCAUUCUUGCAGAUGGCCAAGCUUGGGUGUUGAGAGACGAGGGCACACAGUGUGGGGCCUAGAGACACAGAGGCCAGGGGUGAGUGGCUGCAGGCCAGGAGCCCUACAUGACCCAGGCAGAUACCUCAGCCUCGCGCUCCCACUCCUCCCCCAGGUCCAGAGAGCCCUACUUGUUCUGUGAAAUCUCCCUGUCCUGCUCUCAGGAUAACAACCCCAGCCCCCUGACUGGUCAUCUCUCACCUUGCCCUUUAGUUCUUGGAGAGCACGGCUGUUCCUUCUCACAAUUACACACACACACACACACUCAUAUGUACACACCAUACGCUCAUUCACUCAUAUACACAUAUAGACACAUUUGUAUACACACUGGUACACAUGCUGAUGCAGGUACUCACAUACACACUCAUACACACGUACUUGUACACACCUCAUACACACACUCACAUACACUCUCACACAUGCACACACAUAAGCACACUCACUCUCACGCUCAUACACACACUCCUUCAGACAUAUACACACACUUACACACACUCAAACACACCCACACAAACACACACCCACCCACAUGGGGCACAUACCGGGCCCCAGGAGCAGAAGCAGCACCAGCAUCCUCCACGGCUGGCCUCUCACCACACUUUCUCUCAAGAGACUGGGUCCUGCUCUGCGCUCUUCUCUGCACCCCUAGGGGGCUCUCCUGAGGAACGCUCUGAUCUGCCCCCUUGGGAUGAGCUCACCAAUGGUGCAACCUGCAUCCAUUUCUCAAAGGUCAGAGAACCAGGCAUUCCCAAAAGGGGGCUCAGGCUUUCUAACCCAGCCUCUAAUUUUAUAAGAGAUAAGCUGAGACCUGGAGCUUUGAAAUGGCUUAUGCACCUUCACACGAGUUUGCAAUGAAUCGGAAUCGGCUGGAUGGCAGCUCACAACAACAACUACGCAACUUUCUUAGCUGUAUAAAAGGAAAGGGGGUAUCUGUGUAGUGGUUGGUGUUAUUGUCAGUUUUUUUCUUCUGUGCAAUGUUUUCAGUUAUCAGACCAAGACAAAUCAUGGUUAAUCAUGACAGCUACUGGUGAGCGUAAGAAAUCCUAGGCUGUAGGUGCAGUGUUUCCUCAUGGCUGUGAAGAGGACAAAGGAGCCUGGUUUCGCAGUGGUUAAGCACUCGACUGCUAACUGAAGGGCAGUUUGAACCCACCAGCCGCUUCACAGGAGAAAGAUGUGGCAGUCUGUUUCCAUCAAGAUUACAGCCUAGAAAACCCUAUGAGGCUGUUCUCCUCUGUCCUAUAGAGUAGCUAGGAGUCAGAAUUGACUCCACAGUAGUGGGUUUGGUAUUUUGGGUGAUGAGGACACCCCUUUGUUCACUCCAUGUGGCAUUUACUUCAGGACUAUGGCAUGACAGUUCACCUCAUAGAAUGAUGGGCCUGGUCCUGGAAGUGUUUAUUGAUCAUUGCUCGCAGGUCUCUGUGUAAAGCAACGUGGAGACUGGAGGAUAAUUAAUUCGAGUUACUUUACUGUAGUGGACGUCAUAGUUGAGUAUUGGCCCAUGGAAACGGGUCCUAGGAAAUUUAGGGAAUUUCUCUCUGCUUUGCGUGUGCUGGACUACUUGACCUGCAGGAUUACUCCUGGAAAUGAAGAGCAAUUGCAAAGAGCCUGAGGGUUUUCUCCAAAGCAUUUUGCUUUCAUUUUUAUAUGCCCUCCUUUUAGUUCAUUUUUAUAUAGCUGCAGCAGCUUCGUGUGCCUGGCUGGGCUGUAGGAGGAGGGCAGGGUGUGGACACAGAAUGCCCAGGCCUGUGGUUGGGAUACGUUUAUGCACGGGGAGGGGGUGGCUGUGCUUCUGUGUGGCUUGCUGCUGGCACAGAGGUACAGAGCUGUGUGGGUCAUUUGGUCCCAUGUCACCGCCAGAGGGAAGCGCUCCUUCUUCUGCCGAGAGGCACUGUAGACUGCAGCUGCACCUCCUUCCUGGAUGUCAUUUAUCACAGGUGAGUAGUAGACCAGCUUCAGCCGCUGCCCUGGGUCCUGCUGGUGCCAGUCCAUGGAGUAGUCAUCGAAAGUCUGUUCACAGCUCAGGGUCAUGUUCUGUCCUUUCUCUCAGAUCGGGUAUUCUGGGUCUGAGAGAUUCCAGGAACUGCGAUACUUGUGAGGGAAGAGAAAGAAGCUGCAGCCCAGAGAGGAGGUGCUGAUGCUGCUGUCCCUGGGGGGCUGAGAGCAGAUCAUGGCAGGUGGGGCAGGAAUCCCUCCCUGAGCCCACACUCCCCUGCUCCCAGGAGACAAAGGGCCACGGAGCAGAGGACCUGUCUGGCCAUUGUGGGGAGGGGUCUCCUUGUGUGCCCAGCACUUGAGGAGAGAGGGGAAGGAGAACACUCUGGGGGCUCCCAGGCUGAAUAUAUGAAUUUCUCGGAAGGCUAGAUGAACAACGGCAGGGAUCCUGAAGCCACUCAAGGUGGACUCCCUAAUUCUACAGACGAGGAUCCUGAGGCCAGGAGACAGGAGUCAGUGAACCUUCUCAUGCUUCUCAUGGCCUCUGCAUCCUCCUCUGCCCUGGGGGCGGCACCUGCACACCUUCCGGGCACGCCUCCUCCAACUGGCCACUCUAUUUUACCUCUUAGAGACUGAGAUGCUUUGACUGACUGUAGGAGCUUGCAGACAUUCUGGUCUUGCAGGAUGUAGGGUGCCACUUGAUCCCAUCAUGUUUCUCAGGGCAAGACGGGCCCCUGGAGCCUGUCACAGGUACCCGCAGCAGCCAUGGAAAUCAAUGCACCACUCAUGUCUGCUGCUGAGCGGAACACGGUGGCUGCCCUUGGGUCCAAGAGGGCCCUCACACCAAGGUCUUGCCUCUACUUGGCCACUUCCUCUCUGGCCAGUUUUAGGUGUUCAUUUAUGUCAAUUUCAUCCUCUUGGUUAUUUCCUGUGACUAGAGAUGUGUUUUUAGAGCACGUUCUUGAGAAAAGCACAGCCAAUCUGUCCUGCCUUCUGAAUUUUGUAAUGUAGGUUGAGAGAAAGUCAAAUCGGUCCUUCUCAAUGUGGUUGGAAGACUACAAUCAGAAUCUAUAAUCUUCUACGUACCAUGAGAUCUAAGAAAUGGAGACGACAACUUAUAAUAAGGAAGAAUCAGGACACAAACAAGGUGGAAAAAGAAGUCGGCCAUGUCAUAGUUGCAAGACUGCAUUCCAGAUUGUUUCUGAGAAAUUUCUGUGUUCUUGUUUUGAUCUUUUAUGGAGUCCCUGGGUGAUACAAAUGGCUAAGCGCAUUACUACUAACCAAAAUGUUGGCGAUUGGAACCCACCCACAUGUACCUUGAAAGGAAGGCCUGGCAAUCUGCUUUUGAAGGGCCACAGCCUUGAAAGCCCUGUGCUAUGGAGCACAGUUCUACUCUGCACACGUCGGGUCUCUGUAAGAUCAGCAACUGGUUUGUCUUUUUCAGGAGGGGCUCAUGUUCAGCCUUGCAACAAACUCCCUGUUGGAGAAGGGCACCUCUAGUUAGCUUCUCUUACUUCCUUCCAGCCAGUGAGGCAUCUGCUUCCUGUGCUGGGCCACCACGAGUUUGUGCACCAACAAUACGUGAUGUUUCACACUACGGACAGUGCGCUGGCACAGAGAUACAUGGCCGAGUCCUGUAGCGCCACCAGCUGGAUCUCAAGGAUGCAGGCUGAGUCUUGGGGGCACUUAUCUGAAAAUCUCUCCUUGGGCAUCUCAUUUCCACUAAGGACAUAUUUGUUCUGGAAGGAAAUCAAGAACUUGAGCUCUUUGGUUGGAAUCUGUUGAUACCAGUAAACAUAGCUGUGUCUUUUUGUCAGGACACAGUCCAUUUUCACUUUCUGUCCUUUCCCUUUGAGCAGAUAUCUUGGCAUCUGGGUGACUUUAGUGUCAAAGGAGCCUGCAAGGGAAGGAGACAGAGAUUGUGGAGUGAGUCCCAGUGGGGGAUCUGGUGACAUUGGCAUGGGGAAAGGCUUGGGGCUGUGGACUAGCACCUUCGGGACAGAGAUUUACCUGUACCCAGUAGGCAAAGGACCAUAAAACGGAUAACUACUGAGUACAUGGCAGAGUCAGGGGCAGAAUGGAGGCAGGUGAUUUUCUCUGAGACUUGUAUACACAGCUCCUAUACACAGCUUCUCUGUGACAUGCCAUUUCAUAGAACCCAAUGGUCCUUGGUGUGUGGCUUUGUACCUGAGACAGGAGAAAUUCAGAGAACAUGGGUGGGAGCUUUACCCUCGCUUAAAGGGGAGACCAUGUGACGUUAAUUUGGAGGUAAAUGGUGUUUAGUUUGCUUUUCUUUGGUCUCCGUCUCUGCUUUUCUUCCAUAAAGAAAGAAGGUCUCAGACAAUAAUGCUUUUCCUGUCUCCCAUCCCCUACCCUUUCUACUUUUCCAGAAAUUCUCACCCACCCCAGGUAACCAACCAAUGGCUUUAUGUGGAUUUUCCACGGCCUUUAUUUACAUGCUCAUAUACUCACAUUUCACUUUUGAAAAAAAUGUUUUAUAUUGAACAUAUGAAAGUAUUUUAAGUAUAUAUGAUGUAGAAAGGAUUUCAAUAAAAUUAACACCCAUGUACUCAAAAGCAGAUGAAUGGAUAUAAUUUGUGCAGUAUCCUGUAGUCAGUCCUCUUCCAUAAACCAUCCUCCUGUCUUCCUCCUCUAUAGAGGUGACCAUUAUUUUAAACACUCCUUCUACUAAUCCCUUGAAUUUCUUUCUAGUUUUUUCAAAUUAUAAACAUAUCUAUAAUUUGUAUCAUUUUGUUUUAUUUUAUAAAUGAGAUCACACUGUA